rnacentral:ncRNA from 1 species
CUAUCAUGGUAAUCCUGCUGAGUAUGAGAGGAAUCAAAGUUUCACACAUUUGGUGUAUGUGCUUGACUGAGGAACCAAUGGGGUGAAGCUACCAUCUGUGGGAUUAUGACUGAACGCCUCUAAAUCAGAAUCCCGCCCAGAAGAAAG